GUGGGGAAUAUUGCGCAAUGGGGGCAACCCUGACGCAGCAAUACCGCGUGAGUGAAGAAGGUUUUCGGAUCGUAAAGCUCUGUUAUUGGGGAAGAAGAAGUGACGGUACCCAAUGAGGAAGUCCCGGCUAACUACGUGCCAGCAGCCGCGGUAAUACGUAGGGGACAAGCGUUGUCCGGAAUCACUGGGCGUAAAGGGCGCGUAGGCGGUUUUUUAAGUCAGAUGUGAAAGGUACCGGCUCAACCGGUGACGUGCAUUUGAAACUGGAAGACUUGAGUACUGGAGAGGCAAGUGGAAUUCCUAGUGUAGCGGUGAAAUGCGUAGAUAUUAGGAGGAACACCGGUGGCGAAGGCGGCUUGCUGGACAGAUACUGACGCUGAGGUGCGAAAGCGUGGGGAGCAAACAGGAUUAGAAACCCCAGUAGUCC
rnacentral:rRNA from 1 species